GGAUAGAUGGCAGAGUGGUCGAUUGCUCCGGUCUUGAAAACCGGUGAAGAUGAAAGUCUUCCGGGGGUUCAAAUCCCUCUCUAUCCGCCA
rnacentral:tRNA from 1 species